rnacentral:rRNA from 1 species
UACGUAGGGUCCGAGCGUUGUCCGGAUUUAUUGGGCGUAAAGAGCUCGUAGGCGGUUCCGUAAGUCAGAUGUGAAAACUCAGGGCUCAACCCGGAGACGCCAUCUGAUACUGCGGUGACUGGAGUCUGGUAGGGGAACACGGAAUUCCUGGUGUAGCGGUGAAAUGCGCAGAUAUCGGGAAGAACACCCGUGGCGAAGGCGGUUCUCUGGGACGGUACUGACGCUGAGACGCGAAAGCGUGGGGAGCGAACAGG